UUCUUUCCUCUCCGGUCAAUCUCGGUCAUUUUUUUAGAGGCCUCAAUUUUGUUGUGUUGUAGAAUCAGCUGAUUUCUCUUCUAUUCCUUCAUUGUUGUGUUGUAGAAUCAGCUGAUUUCUCUUCUAUUCCUUCAUUGUUCAAGUUGCUUUGUUGUGGACGCUUCUUAGUUUCUUCUUCUCUCUUCUCUUUUUCACACUCAUUUCUUGGUAAAUACAGUAUUUUGCUAAACAUUUUCUCUUGUUUUGGAUGAUUUUUUUACAUGCAUGUCACUAUAUUUUAAUUCUCUUUCAUUUGCAUGUUUGAAAUUGGUGAAUAGACACUUUAAUGGUGUCUCGAAAUGCAGUAUGAGUUUUUCAUUUCUUUCCCUUUCAAAUCUCUUCUUUCUGGAUCUAUUGUGGGAGAGUUGAUUAGAAUUCAAAAUCAGUUGCUUUACCUUCGGCAGAAUUUUAAUUUUCAUUAGAUUUAUUGAUCUUUAUUUACAAAGUUUGUUUCUUUUAAACCUUUUCGUAGAUCUGAGUUUGGGUUUAAUGAUCUUGAUGAGAGAAUCUCUGGUUUGAAGAUUGAGAUGUUGUAUUCUUAGAUUUGGUGCAGGAAUAUUUUAUGGGAAAUGUUGAUUUUGCCUAUUAGCUUAUACAAAGUUGUACAAGUCUGAGCAAAACCUUAUAAAAUACAUGAAGUAACUGAGAUUUACCAAGGAGGAAGCAGUGAUUUUUGACAAUUGAAUCCACGCGUUCAGUUCAGCUACCAAGAAGUCCCAAACUGAAAUGACAAAAAUACCCCUAUUGAUGAAGCAGAGAAGUCGAUGGAGUGCUGCUUGCUUAACCCCCAACUCCCUCUUAUAUAUAUAUAUAUAUAUAUAUAUAUAUAUAUAUUACUCCNN
rnacentral:lncRNA from 1 species